rnacentral:rRNA from 1 species
GAUUGAACGCUGGCGGCAGGCCUAACACAUGCAAGUCGAGCGGCAGCGGGUCCUUCGGGRUGCCGGCGAGCGGCGGACGGGUGAGUAAUGCCUAGGAAUCUGCCUGUUAGUGGGGGAUAACUCGGGGAAACUCGAGCUAAUACCGCAUACGUCCUACGGGAGAAAGUGGGGGAUCUUCGGACCUCACGCUAACAGAUGAGCCUAGGUCGGAUUAGCUAGUUGGUGGGGUAAAGGCUCACCAAGGCGACGAUCCGUAACUGGUCUGAGAGGAUGAUCAGUCACACUGGAACUGAGACACGGUCCAGACUCCUACGGGAGGCAGCAGUGGGGAAUAUUGGACAAUGGGGGAAACCCUGAUCCAGCCAUGCCGCGUGUGUGAAGAAGGUCUUCGGAUUGUAAAGCACUUUAAGUUGGGAGGAAGGGCUUACGGUUAAUACCUGUGAGUUUUGACGUUACCAACAGAAUAAGCACCGGCUAACUCUGU